CCUACGGGGGGCUGCAGUGGGGAAUAUUGGACAAUGGGGGCAACCCUGAUCCAGCCAUGCCGCGUGUGUGAAGAAGGCCCUCGGGUUGUAAAGCACUUUCAGUGAGGAAGAACGCCUGGUGGUUAAUACCCAUCAGGAAAGACAUCACUCACAGAAGAAGCACCGGCGAACUCCGUGCCAGCAGCCGCGGUAAUACGGAGGGUGCGAGCGUUAAUCGGAAUUACUGGGCGUAAAGCGCGCGUAGGUGGCUUGAUAAGCCGGUUGUGAAAGCCCCGGGCUCAACCUGGGAACGGCAUCCGGAACUGUCAAGCUAGAGUGCAGGAGAGGAAGGUAGAAUUCCCGGUGUAGCGGUGAAAUGCGUAGAGAUCGGGAGGAAUACCAGUGGCGAAGGCGGCCUUCUGGACUGACACUGACACUGAGGUGCGAAAGCGUGGGUAGCAAACAGGAUUAGAUACCCCGGUAGUC
rnacentral:rRNA from 1 species